ACGCUGGCGGCGUGCUUAAACACAUGGCAAGUCAAGGGGGCCCGCAAGGGUAACCGGCGAACGGGUGCGUAACACGUGAGCAAUCUGCCUCGAUGUGGGGGGAUAGCCGGCCCAACGGCCGGGUAAUACCGCAUACGCUCUCUGGGUGGCAUCACUUGGAGAGGAAACAUUUUUGGCAUUGAGAGGAGCUCGCGGCCUAUCAGCUAGUUGGUGGGGUAAUGGCCUACCAAGGCUUUGACGGGUAGCUGGUCUGAGAGGAUGGCCAGCCACAUUGGGACUGAGAUACGGCCCAGACUCCUACGGGAGGCAGCAGUGGGGAAUAUUGCGCAAUGGCCGAAAGGCUGACGCAGCGACGCCGCGUGGGGAUGAAGCAUUUCGGUGUGUAAACCCCUGUUGCCCGGGACGAACAACUGGUUUUGACCAGUCUGACGGUACCGGGUGAGGAAGCACCGGCUAACUCCGUG
rnacentral:rRNA from 1 species